UACAGAGGGUGCGAGCGUUAAUCGGAGUUACUGGGCGUAAAGGGCGCGUAGGCGGUCUAAUAAGAUUGAUGUGAAAUCCCUGGGCUUAACCUAGGAACUGCAUCGAUGACUGUUAGGCUGGAGUAUUGUAGAGGGUAGUGGAAUUUCCGGUGUAGCGGUGAAAUGCGUAGAGAUCGGAAGGAACACCAGUGGCGAAGGCGGCUACCUGGACAAAUACUGACGCUGAGGCGCGAGAGCGUGGGGAGCAAACAGG
rnacentral:rRNA from 1 species